GAUGAAGUAUAAGUUUUAAUGUUAAAUUAACUCUUUACUCCUCCAGUUGUUUAUGAUCAUGUUGUUCAUCACAGCAUUAGAAGGCAACUAAGAAAAAGAGUAUAAGCAUUUAUGUUUUGAAAGCAGUUACAAAUUAUACAGGUUUAGUAACGGAAAGUGUAGUUUCCCAUCUAAGAGAUUUGCUUUGCUGACUAUUGUCAGAAGCAAGACAGAUGAAUGGGGGCAGGUUUUGGAGCAGUGAUGCGUUCUAAAGAGGUAUCAGACCCCAGAGACCAGCAUCUGUAUGCAGAUCUAACUUCUAUUGCUCAGCACAAACUUAUGUACAGUUUUUCAGCCAAUAAAGUGUGGUAUGUAAUCAAUUGAUGAAUGAGGGAUAAAAAGCACUGUUGUGUUGAAUCUAAAUUGCUUACCUAUGACUCUGUAAGGGAUGAAGUAGAUCUUCUAGGAAGGGCUUUCCAUUGAUGACACAGGAUGCAGCCAUAGCCUGUGGCUUGGAUCUUGUAUUCUGUUUUACUUGGUUUGCAGUGAGUCACUUAGAAUCAGGUAUUGUACAACAAGAUUAUGGUUCCUGGAGAAGACACUGAACAUCAUGACAUCUUUCUUUCCCUCCCACUUCUUCCUCCACAAGGUUCACUCUCAUACCCCCAUAAACUAUGAGCAUUUUUUAUGUUUAUAUUACCAGAUAUGGUUUAUCUCUUGUUUAGAAAGUAUUAAGUCUAACUAUUUAGAUCUAGGCAACUUAAUAGACAAUAAAUGUAAAAAGCUAAACGUCAAGAAAUGAGAUAAUAUAUUUAUAUAUUUUUACAAUUCAGAUUUUAUUCCCCUCCAGGUUCACACUCCAAUUCUUUCACAACCCAUACUUACUCCUCAACCCUCCUCUUCAUCUUCUCAAGAUGUUCCUACCAACCCUACCUGACCUCUAAGCAUCCUGGUGUCUCCCGUCUUUUGAGGGCUAGGUGAUUCUUCUCUGACUAAACCCAGACCAGUAAGUCCUCUGCUGUAUAUGUGUUGGAGGCCUCAUGUCAGCUGGUGUUUGCUGCCUUGUUGGUGAUCCAGUGCCUAAGAGAUCUCCAGGAUCCAGGUUAAUAGAGAUUGCUG
ensembl:lncRNA